CACGUAGGGCGCAAGCGUUGUCCGGAAUUAUUGGGCGUAAAGAGCUCGUAGGCGGUUUGUUGCGUCGGCUGUGAAAUCCCGAGGCUCAACUUCGGGUCUGCAGUCGAUACGAGCAAACUAGAGUGUUGCAGGGGAGACUGGAAUUCCUGGUGUAGCGGUGAAAUGCGCAGAUAUCAGGAGGAACACCGGUGGCGAAGGCGGGUCUCUGGGCAACAACUGACGCUGAGGAGCGAAAGCGUGGGGAGCGAACAGG
rnacentral:rRNA from 1 species